CCUACGGGAGGCAGCAGUGAGGAAUAUUGGUCAAUGGCCGGAAGGCUGAACCAGCCAUGCCGCGUGAAGGUCAGUGCCCUAUGGGCGUUAAACUUCUUUGGUGCGGGAGCAAUAAUGGUCACGUGUGGCCAGACGAGAGUACCGUACGAAUAAGCAUCGGCUAACUCCGUGCCAGCAGCCGCGGUAAUACGGGGGAUGCAAGCGUUAUCCGGAUUUAUUGGGUUUAAAGGGUGCGUAGGCUGUGAGGUAAGUCAGCGGUGAAAUGCCCCCGCUCAACGGGGUGAAGUGCCAUUGAUACUGCCUGGCUGGAAUGCGGAUGCCGUGGGAGGAAUGUGUGGUGUAGCGGUGAAAUGCAUAGAUAUCACACAGAACACCGAUUGCGAAGGCAUCUCACGAAUCCGCGAUUGACGCUGAUGCACGAAAGCGUGGGUAUCAAACAGGAUUAGAUACCCUUGUAGUC
rnacentral:rRNA from 1 species